rnacentral:rRNA from 1 species
UCUGGGCGUAAGCGCGCGUAGGCGGCUUUGUCACAUCGCAUGUGAAAUCCCCGCGGCUCAACCUGGGAACUGCCUUUGUAACUGCUCUGGCUUGAGUGCGGGAAGAGGGGUGAUGGAAUUCCGCGGUGUAGCAGUGAAAUGCGUAGAUAUUCGGAGGAACACCGAUGGCGAAGGCAGCCCCCUGGGCCAUUACUGACGCUGAUGCACGAAAGCGUGGGGAGCAAACCGGAUUAGAUACCCUGGUAGUCCACGCCCUAAACGAUGCGCACUAGGUGUCGGGGAUUUUUUUUCUCAGAAGGCAACGUAACUCGCGCUUUUUAUCCCCCGGGGGGUCCGGACGCUCGAUUUC